rnacentral:misc_RNA from 1 species
AUUUGUUUAUUUCACUUCUCUCUUCAAUUUUGUGCACUCGAACAGAAGAUGCAAAAGAUUGCAACUCUUUCGAGGUUGUCAGAUGAUACGAUUUGAGAUUAACACCAGUGCAUGGGAAGCAAAUCAUCUUCUGAAAUCGAGUUCAAGAUUGAUUGUUUUCUCGUCGCAUACCCUUGCAAUAACCAGGUUUGGAUGCUGAUUACUUCUCAAUCUAAUAAGUGAUGCUUCAUAGUUUUAGUGUAGAACUUUUUGUAUAGAGUAAAGACAAAUUCAUGGAUUUUGUAAUUUUAUCUUACCAUUUUGUUUAAGUGCA